CAGAUUUCCAGAUGCUUGAAUUGAUGUUCCUGAAAUGUAGCUGCUCCUGCGGGAAAUGAUUGUUCAGUCCCAAGGAGUAAGACUUAGGGAGUGGAGAGUCUAAACGCCAGAGUCAUUGCCACGGGAUAGCGCUGGGCAGGGCUGGAGCAAGCGCAGGGGUAAAAAUGAGCCACUGCUUGGACAUCUUGUAGGCUGCCUCCUGCCUCUCCUUCCCAUAGUCCACACCCCUGUCGCCCAGAUACUGUAGCUUUGCACCAGCCAGGACAGUGCUGACACAUAUCUAUUUAAAUUUCAAUUUCAUAGGGAAUUUCCAUGUCUGUGUGGGUUCCCCAUACGUACCUGCAUAUGCUAUUAAAUUUGAUUUUCUCCAAAUAAAUAAGUAAAUACUCCAUAGAAAACCCAGUUCCCCGGUGCACUAGCCACAUUUUAAGUGCUCGACAGCUACAUGCGGUCAGCACAGUUACUGAGCACUGCCUUCGCUGCGGAGAAUCCUACUGGAGAGCACUACUGGGGAGGACUAUUCCCUCUCUCCACGUCGUUUCUCCUCCAUCCCUUUCCCUGCGGGCCAAGCUUGUUAUUCAAAAUAAAUCAAAUGUCACCUUUGACCAAGACUCUUUGACCAAACUUUGGUUGGGCUCCUCUGAGCCCUCUUGACUAGGCUUCAACCUUGGGCUUCUAAGUCUGCCUUUGCCAAGUCCACAGCUGGGGUGCAGGGGUGCCAGGGCACCUGGCUCUGGGUGAGGGGGUGAGGGGGUGGGGGUGGGGGCAAACAGACCAGGUUCAGCCACUCACCGCUGACAAAAUGCAAAGACAGGUGGUGGAACAAGGAAGGAAUUUAUUUCAGGGAAGGGCGACACCAGGAAGACAGUGGACCCUCUGAAAUACAACCUCCAAAGUGUCGAAAAUACUUCUGGGUUUUGUAAGGAAAAUGUGGGACAGAGGUCAGAGAGUACCGCAGGUGGAAAGCUAAGGUCAGGUCAUUGUUGUCUUGAGGUCACUUGGGGUCUUGCUGGCUCAGGGCAGUCGUUGUUGCUUGAGGGGGUAGUUUUGGUUCCCAUCACGAUGAUUUGCCUGCGGGUUCUUUUGCCUGAAUUAAGAGAUAAGCAGGAAAAAGAAAACUUUCAUUAGAAAGUACAGACUGAGGUCAAAAUGGAGGUAGUUGAGGUCCUCUUUCAAGUCCGGUUUCAACAAAAAUCUUAAAUCAGCUUAGACAGAAUCCUUACUCUUCCUAUCUGAUCAAUCCCUAGCCUGCCUUCAGCAAGAAUCCUAUUAAAUCAGU